rnacentral:snRNA from 2 species
GUUACUUUGGGACAUCCGAUAAAAUUGAAACGAUAUAGAAAAGAUUGACAUGGUCACUGCGCACAAGAAUGACAUGAACUAGUAGAUAAGUUGAUGUGUAUAU